rnacentral:rRNA from 1 species
GAUGAACGCUGGCGGCGUGCCUAAUACAUGCAAGUCGAGCGAACGGACGAGAAGCUUGCUUCUCUGAUGUUAGCGGCGGACGUGUGAGUAACACGUGGAUAACCUACCUAUAGACUGGGAUAACUCCGGGAAACCGGAGCUAAUACCGGUUAAUAUUUUGAACCUCAUGGUUCAAAAGUGAAAGACGGUCUUGCUGUCACUUAUAGCUGGAUCCGCGCUGCAUUAGCUAGUUGGUAAGGUAACGGCUUACCCAGGCAACGAUGCAUAGCCGACCUGAGAGGGUGAUCGCCCACACUGGAUCUGAGACACGGUCCAGACGCCUACAGGAGGCACAAGUAGGGAAUCUUCCGCAAUGGGCGACAGCCUGACGCAGCAACGCCGCGUGAGUGAUGAAGGUCUUCGGAUCGUAAAACUCUGUUAUUAGGGAAGAACAUAUGUGUAAGUAACUGUGCACAUCUUGACGGUACCUAAUCAGAAAGCCACGGCUAACUACGUG